rnacentral:lncRNA from 1 species
AAUAAUAUUUCAGUGUUACUGUUGUUGUGUAUUUUUGAUCAAAAUCUGCAUUUUGUUUUCUUGAAAUUGUCUUUGAAAUGCAUUUAAAUGAUUCCAUGGAUUUUGUUUUCAUAUUAUUCUAAGUUUAGAAGGACACGAGGGAGAUCAAAGAUGUCAGAAUUUUCACUUUAAAGCUGUUUCUACAAUGGCGCUAAUCAAUUAAACUACUUUUUUUUUCAAGCAAUGCAUGGCCAGCCAUACCUUUAAAUACCAGUUAUUACUUUGAAUAGUUUUCUUUUAUUGCACGUUUUAAUGCCGUUCAAGCCCAGUAUUACAGAGUGAGGUUGUUGUCUUAUCAUCACUUUGUCUGAUAAGAUGUGAAACGUGAUGUGCAAAGCAUGUUUAACCUUAACUAUCCUUUUUAUUUUUUUCAGCUAAGCAGCUUAUACUGUUGAACACUAAGCAUUCAUCUCCAGUAAAAGUGUAAUAACGUCACAUUUUAAAAGUGGUAUAUCAGCAUUCUUUUUUUAACAUUAGCUUGGGAAGGGAGUAGCUGGUAAUACUGUGUUUUGUGCUCAAGUCUUGUCUACAUGCUGCUGUGUUGUAGCAUUCAUUUCCUUUUAAUAAAUAAACUCAUUUAUUC